rnacentral:lncRNA from 1 species
UUGCGGGUGCAACGCAGUCACCACAAUGAUGUCGAGGAUCAAUGCCGGGUAAUUCAGUGAGCGUUCCAACAAAGAAUCAAGGAAAAAACUGCCAGGCAAAGGAAAGAAACCUUCUGGCAACAGGUCUUUAACGUUACGCGUAGAGUCCUUUGGAACAGGAGUUGUUUCUGUGUCAAGAACUUGAAGAUCAAUUCAGGCAACGGCUACUAAAGAAAAACGAGUCACAUAACAUGGAGAGCAAAGAAGAGAAGAGAGAGGAAACAGAGAGGUGCCAACACUGCCACCCGGGGUGGGCAGCAGGCUGCUGGUGCCAGCGUCAUCAUGGGCGGCGGCCAGCACUGGCCACGCUGUCACCGCGUCGCCGUGGCGACGUUUGUGACACGGCCACCCGGGAGGGGUAUGAAGGCGGUGCACGCUGGUGGGUCCUGCAUCCUGAAGGAGCAUCUGGUAGAGAGCAGACGCACCUGAAGGGAUGAGCUCCGGCAUGGCUGGCGCCAACAAGGAGCAACCCGCUGGCACGAGGCGGAACAGGAUGAGCUUCUGCGAGGA